AAAAAGUCGAACCAAUCCGGAUAGAUAAAUACAUAAAUCCAUAAUACAACUCACAAGCCAAGUAAUCGAAUUAGGGUUUACACAUUUUCCAGCUUCAAGUGGCAAUCCAAAAAGGAAAAUACAUCAGACCAAAUAACACAUUACAGCCUACAGAAUAAGUAUUAGAGUUCAAAUACAAUCCAAAAGGAAAACAUGAGUAAGCAUCCAGCUUUUAGUUUCCAGAACCUGUUAAGGAAAACAAUAAACGUGGGGUGAGCUAAAGCUCAAUGGUGCCCCAAAACAUGCAAUCACGUAAUAACAAACAGCGGUUAAUAACUUGGCAAAAUUAAACAAUUAAGAAAGAAGAUAACAGCACAAGGUAGGAUACGUGGGCUCUCAGGAGCCAUUUUUCCUCGCUUGAUCACCAUUUAUCGUAGUUGACCCUCCGUCAACUCUCACUACUUAUAAUCCAUGUAGAGCGUCUCAUUUUGAUACCUAACCCGUCACCAUUCAUACCCCUGUCCCGGGCCCGCUCACCGACUAAGGACGCAGUAUACUCGAGAUAUACCCGUAGAUACAAGGAAGCAGUAUACUUGCGUAUACCCUUAGAUAAUUGAGAGGAGUAUACUUAAUAUACCCUCAGGAAAUUGAUCGAGGGUUUCACCCAGCGACAUUUCCGUAGUUGGAUUCAGGAGUCGAGGGAUUCACCCAACGACGCAACUACAUUUUGAUUCGAGGAUUCAGGAGAAAAAUGUUUUUGCACAAGUCACCACUCGAACGGCUAGUGCGAUAAAGUACACACAGCUCACUUCGAUGGAUCGGAAACCAAUUUUUCAACUUAUCACAUAACAAGUCAAGAAAGUACUUUAAGCAGGUAAGCAUAGAACAGGCAGGGACACUCACCAAGAGUGGAGUUCAGAUAUCAAGUUGGGGAUCGAAUUCCGAGUCCUCGAAAAACCCUAAAAACCAAAAUUUGAAACUAUAAGUUUCUACUCAGUUUUUAAGCUUAUAGACAUUGAGGUAUAUCUAAUAUACUACUAGUUCACUUUCCCUUAGAAAAAUCAAGAGUCCCUUAGGUUAAAACUUGACAAAAGUAGAAGAAUUGUUUCCUAGAGUUUUCCUUGAGUUACUUUUCUUAUAAAAGGGUAACUAGUAUUAUUUUCUUGGAAUAAAUCGACAAAUCUCUUAAUAUCAAUGUUAGAAAGUUACUUUGAACAUUUCUCUAAAGUUACGGCUUUUGCAAAAAUUAUCCCUAAAAACUAUUUUUCCUAAAAUAGGGUUUCUUGCCGAGCAAGUUUCCCAGGCUUUGCACUAAAAUAAAUAAAACUCGUACUUGGAAAUUUUUCCUAUAGUUAACUAGCCAAGAGUAAUACUUAAUGAAAAGAAAAGAAAUAAAAUAAGACUUAGGGUUUUCAAAAGCUAUAGAACUUAUUUACUAUAGCUAUCAAGGCUAGUUUGAGCUAAAGGAAAUUAUCGGUUGGAAAGUUUUAGGCAAAACACUAGAUAUUGAGUUUUAUAAUAUAAUACUAGUUGGGAAAUAUUUUUGAUUACUUUGAUCACAGUUACUCGAGUUCGCAAGGUCGAUACAACUUCCACAGCUCCGAUUCCGUUUCGAAAUCAUAUUAUGGAUCAAAAUAUGGCAAAAAUCACAUAGCAAAUUACUAAGGCUUCGUCAAUCAUUAGCCCUAGAUUUCAACAAAUGCAUUUCUGAUAAAAAUAAAAUGAACAACCAAGGUUUCAUCAAUCAUUAGCACUUGGUUUCAGCAAGCCCAUCAUAAGCAAAUAAAAAUAAAAGUAAUGCCUCCAAGACAUUUCGGCAAUUAACUUUCAUCACCCAAUAGUACUUAUAAAGUCAUUCAAAUGGCCAAGGCUUCAUAAAUCAUUAGCCCUUGACAACAUCAAUUACUUCCAACCACAAUUUAAUCCAGAAUUUAAACCACAAGUAGCCUACAAGAUCAAACCAAAUCAAAAUUUAGUUUCACGAAGAACAGGACAUUCAUACCAAACCAGUCUACUUCCAAGAUUCACAGACAGCAGUACACAUGGAUGAAAAAUACGAAAUUUCUACAGGACAAAGGCCUAUGACUCUAGUUUCAAUGCCACUGACGGCGCCUUAAACGGAUUUUUCUACACAAAGAUAUAAGCAUUUUACUGAGACUGGUCAGGGACAUCCGAAAAUCUGAAAUUUCAAUUUUUCACUUGUGAAAACUCCUUUUUCUCUUUUAACACUAAAAUGUUUUUAUUCAAACCAUCCAUACACUUCUUAUAGAACUUCAAAACAACAUAUUCCAAGCAUUUCCAUCCAUCAUGAUUCAAGGAAACAUUUAAAAAUCAAGCUAAGAUUCCAACUCAACCUUUGACUAUCACAUAAGAAAUUCCAGCAACUAAUAUACUUUAGAUCCAGUUUUUCCCUUGGUUUAAACAGGGUGUUAGGUACUCAAAUUCAGCAUUUAAACACUUAGCUAGCUAUUAAAAAUUUCCACUUCAAAACCAAAUUCAUUUAGUAACUAAAAUCAUCCAGAAAAAUCCAGAAAUAGUUUAAAAUCCAAAAGAAAACAAACUGAAAAUUUCUGAUCAAACCUCUCGGCUAUUCCAGAAUUUUUCCAGCACUUGGGUGUUUAUAAAUCCAAUUUUCCUCAGCUAAAACAUGGUUUUAGAUACCCAAAUUAGUCAUGCAAAAACUUAUCUAGCUAAUUAAUAUUUCCAAUUCAAAAUUUAACUUAAACAACAGCUGCAAAUCCCCAAAACUUCCAGAAAUUUUGUACAGCUAGCUUCGGACAAACAUGCAUGCAACAGAUUGCAUUUCUAUUUUAUUUUUCUGGUUUAAACUAACUAAUUAGCUGCAUGCAGAGCCUAAUUAACUUGUUAUUAACCAUCUAAUCAUGGUUAUAAGUUUAAACAACAACAUCAACAACAACAACAACAAAAUCGAACCAAGUUAGGCUGCAAUAAUCCAGCUAAGCUCUCGGUAGUUUCUAUACUAGCACAUAUCAGAAAUUCUUUUCUUAAAAAUCUCAUCCGGAUGCCUAACCCCCACAUGCAAGUUCUUAGAUGACUUAACCUUAUUGUUAUUAGUUGGUUAAACACCAAAUUGAGCUCAGAUUAUCGCAGGAAGUCAGAAAUAAAAUUACAAAUUCAAACCAGUUCCUCGGCAGAAAUUUUCUUAACCAAACCAGAAAUUUUCUCUGCUUUAACACAUCAUCCGAAUGCACAAUUCAACAUGCAUGGUCUAAAUCUUCAAGUCUUCACUCAGUUAAAGGCACUUAGGUGUUCAGAUGCCACAGAAAAACACAAAUGGAGUUGCAUUAUCUCCUCAAAUUCUCGGUAGCAACAUUUUGACAAAACAGAAUUUUUUCUAAUGGUUGGAUUUCAACAUCCGACUGCAUAAUCUGAACAUGCAAGCUCAGAUGUAGCUUGCUCAACUAAUAAUCAUCCUACUUAGACCAGAAAUUACCUCAGAUAGCAGCUAAUCCUUCACACGAAAUAUUCCAGAAAUUUCUUCCCUAGCUCUCGGCCAAGUGCAGUCGGUGGAUCCUGGCUCCUAAGUUGCGGCUGGAAUUGGUUGUGGCUGGUGGAUUUGAGGUCGGUUGGUUGGAGUUGGUGGGGAUGAAGGUGCAAAAUGGUGAAGCUUCCUGCAAAUCUCCUCCCUGGCUUCACUCCAACUCACGGCAGGACCAGAAAAUUUCUGGCAGCUCACGCUCGCUCCUCCUAGCUCUCGGAUGUAGCUCACCAAGCAGCCCUCUCUCUCGGAUGCUCUCGGUCAAGGCAGAGGAAGAGGUAUGGUGUGGUUGUGGAGAGAGAUUGCAGUGGUUUCGGUGGAGUGUGCAGAGAAGGAAAUUGAGACUCGGUGAUGGUGGUGUCUCGGUAUCAAGAGAGAAAGCGGUUUGUGGUUUACUUGUGCAGAGAAGAAAGGAAGUUGCGGUUUGUGUU
rnacentral:lncRNA from 1 species